rnacentral:rRNA from 1 species
UACGUAGGGGGCAAGCGUUGUCCGGAAUUAUUGGGCGUAAAGCGCGCGCAGGCGGCCUUUUAAGUCUGAUGUGAAAGCCCACGGCUCAACCGUGGAAGGUCAUUGGAAACUGAAAGGCUUGAGUACAGAAGAGGAAAGCGGAAUUCCACGUGUAGCGGUGAAAUGCGUAGAGAUGUGGAGGAACACCAGUGGCGAAGGCGGCUUUCUGGUCUGUAACUGACGCUGAGGCGCGAAAGCGUGGGGAGCAAACCGG